rnacentral:misc_RNA from 1 species
GAUGAAGAACGCAGCGAAAUGCGAUAAGUAGUGUGAAUUGCAGAAUUCAGUGAAUCAUCGAAUCUUUGAACGCACAUUGCGCCCCUUGGUAUUCCAUGGGGCAUGCCUGUUCGAGCGUCAUUUGUACCUUCAAGCUCUGCUUGGUGUUGGGUGUUUGUCUCGCCUCUGCGUGUAGACUCGCCUCAAAAUAAUUGGCAGCCGGCGUAUUGAUUUCGGAGCGCAGUACAUCUCGCGCUUUGCACUCAUAACGACGACGUCCAAAAGUACAUUUUUACACUCUUGACCUCGGAUCAGGUAGGGAUACCCGCUGAACUUAAGCAUAUCAAUAAGCGGAGA